rnacentral:rRNA from 1 species
UGGGAACCUUCCCUAUGGUUCGGAAUAGCUCAGGGAAACUUGGGGUAAUACCGGAUAAGCCCUUCGGGGAAAGAUUUAUCGCCAUUGGAUGGGCCCGCGUCGGAUUAGCUAGUUGGUGAGGUAACGGCUCACCAAGGCAACGAUCCGUAGCUGGUCUGAGAGGAUGAUCAGCUACACUGGGACUGAGACACGGCCCAGACUCCUACGGGAGGCAG